GAUAAACGCUGGCGGUGUACAUAAGACAUGCAAGUCGAACGGGAGAAGACAGGAAGAUUUAUCUACUUGUUGGACACCGUGGCGGACGGGUGAGUAACACGUAAGCAACCUGCCUAUAAGAGGGGAAUAACAGUGAGAAAUUACUGAUAAUACCGCAUAAGCUGGAGGUACCGCAUGAUACAUUCAGAAAAGAUUUAUCGCUUAUAGAUGGGCUUGCGUCUGAUUAGCUAGUUGGUGAGAUAACAGCUCACCAAGGCGACGAUCAGUAGCCGGAUUGAGAGGUUGAACGGCCACAUUGGGACUGAGACACGGCCCAGACUCCUACGGGAGGCAGCAGUCGGGAAUAUUGCACAAUGGAGGAAACUCUGAUGCAGUGACACCGCGUAUAGGAAGAAGGUCUUAGGAUUGUAAGCUAUUGUCGUG
rnacentral:rRNA from 1 species